CCAGACGACGACGGGUAGCCGGCCUGAGAGGGCGACCGGCCACACUGGGACUGAGACACGGCCCAGACUCCUACGGGAGGCAGCAGUGGGGAAUAUUGCACAAUGGGGGAAACCCUGAUGCAGCGACGCAGCGUGCGGGAUGACGGCCUUCGGGUUGUAAACCGCUUUCAGCAGGGAAGAAGCCCUUCGGGGUGACGGUACCUGCAGAAGAAGUACCGGCUAACUACGUGCCAGCAGCCGCGGUAAUACGUAGGGUACAAGCGUUGUCCGGAAUUAUUGGGCGUAAAGAGCUCGUAGGUGGUUGGUCACGUCUGCUGUGGAAACGCAACGCUUAACGUUGCGCGUGCAGUGGGUACGGGCUGACUAGAGUGCAGUAGGGGAGUCUGGAAUUCCUGGUGUAGCGGUGAAAUGCGCAGAUAUCAGGAGGAACACCGGUGGCGAAGGCGGGACUCUGGGCUGUAACUGACACUGAGGAGCGAAAGCAUGGGGAGCGAACAGGAUUAGAUACCCUGGUAGUCCAUGCCGUAAACGUUGGGCACUAGGUGUGGGGGACAUUCCACGUUCUCCGCGCCGUAGCUAACGCAUUAAGUGCCCCGCCUGGGGAGUACGGUCGCAAGGCUAAAACUCAAAGGAAUUGACGGGGGCCCGCACAAGCGGCGGAGCAUGCGGAUUAAUUCGAUGCAACGCGAAGAACCUUACCAAGGCUUGACAUACACCAGACCGUUCUGGAAACAGUUCCUCCCCUUUGGGGUUGGUGUACAGGUGGUGCAUGGUUGUCGUCAGCUCGUGUCGUGAGAUGUUGGGUUAAGUCCCGCAACGAGCGCAACCCUCGUUCUAUGUUGCCAGCACGUAAUGGUGGGAACUCAUAGGAGACUGCCGGGGUCAACUCGGAGGAAGGUGGGGAUGACGUCAAAUCAUCAUGCCCUUUAUGUCUUGGGCUUCACGCAUGCUACAAUGGCUGGUACAGAGAGAUGCGAGACCGCGAGGUUUUAGCGAAUCCCUUAAAGCCAGUCUCAGUUCGGAUCGUAGUCUGCAAUUCGACUACGGAAGUCGGAGUCGCUAGU
rnacentral:rRNA from 1 species